rnacentral:SRP_RNA from 1 species
GCCGGGCGCGGUGGCGUGCACCUGUAAUCCCAGCUACUCCAGAGGCUGAGGCAGAAGAAUCGCUUGAACCCAGGAGGCGGAGGUUGCUGUGAGCCGAGAUCAUGCCACUGCACUCCAGCCUGGGUGACAAAGUGAGACUCUGUCUCAA